rnacentral:tRNA from 1 species
UGCGGGAUGGAGCAGUCUGGUAGCUCGCCGGGCUCAUAACCCGGAGGCCGUCGGUUCAAAUCCGGCUCCCGCGACCA